rnacentral:miRNA from 1 species
CCCAGUGUUGAUAUUCAUUUU